UACGGAGGGUGCAAGCAUUAAUCGGAUUUAUUGGGCGUAAAGGGCGCGUAGGCGGAAGUGAAAGUCAGAUGUGAAAUCCCGGGGCUCAACCUCGGAACAGCAUUUGAAACUCCUCUUCUAGAGGGUAGGCGGAGAAAACGGAAUUCCACAAGUAGCGGUGAAAUGCGUAGAUAUGUGGAAGAACACCGGUGGCGAAGGCGGUUUCUAGCUUAUUCCUGACGCUGAGGCGCGGAAGCAAGGGGAUCAAAACAGGG
rnacentral:rRNA from 1 species